rnacentral:misc_RNA from 1 species
AACGCACGAGACCUGCGGACCUGCGGAGGGAUCAUUAACAAAUUCAAAACACUCGUCUUGGGAUGCGUAUUCUCUCCCUCUCUCUUCUUUCCUCUUCCUCUCCCCUUUCUUUCUCUCUUUAUUUAUUUAUCGAGGGACGGAGGUGUGGUGGGGUUUAAGGGGGUGAUAAGAGAGAGAAGAGGUGCGUUCUCCUCUAUGACACAAACACAUACAUUUAAGAUUUGACAACACAUGGAGAAC